UACGUAGGCAGCGAGCGUUGUUCGGAAUUACUGGGCGUAAAGAGUGUGUAGGUGGUUUGUCGCGUUGUUCGUGAAAACUCACAGCUCAACUGUGGGCGUGCGGGCGAUACGGGCAGACUAGAGUACUGCAGGGGAGACUGGAAUUCCUGGUGUAGCGGUGGAAUGCGCAGAUAUCAGGAGGAACACCGGUGGCGAAGGCGGGUCUCUGGGCAGUAACUGACGCUGAGAAGCGAAAGCGUGGGGAGCGAACAGG
rnacentral:rRNA from 1 species